GUCAAGCACAGUCAAACACGCUCACACACGCAAGUGCACACAUAUGUCAAGUGUUUCACAUGGGAGAACAUCCUUACGCAUAAACGGUGAUUAAUCACAGGCUGUUUUGCAUGCAGAGAAAAAAAUUUGCAUUAUUAGACGAAAAUCCAUGACAAUCCACUUCAGAACUCGCAAGAGCAUUAAAUGUUGAUCGGACUACAAUUACUGAACGUUUACACGCCAUGGGAAAAAUUCAGAAAGAAGGAAAAUGGGUUUCAUCAUAGAAACAGAAAAGGUAUAAAAUUUUAUUAUAUUUUCGAAUAAUUUUAAUAUAUAAGAAUGUGUGUGUAAUAUUGGUUUACUUUUAUCGUGCUUCAUUUCUUACAAAAAGAUAGAAAAUUUAUUCUAAAAUUUUUAACUAGAAUUUCGAUUUCGAAGAUCAAGAAUUAAAUCUUACAGAAUAAGAUUUUGUAAAUUUUGUAAAAACUUGUUUCCUUGUAGAGAUCAAAGUAUUCAUGAUCGGGUACACGUCGCCGAUUUAUUGCUUUAAUUGCGCUGAUUUAUCAAUUCAUUCAUUUUAUAGAAAAUUCCAAAAGAAAAUUUGUGUGAACUCUAUAUUUAAGAAUAUAUAAUAAAAUAUUAACCAAUUCCAUAUCUGUUAGUUUUCAUGAAAAAUUCUAAAGAAAUAAUCAGUCUUGAGAUGUUUAUUUAAAUAAAACAGUAUCCAAUCACAUGUUUUACAAUAUUAACUUCAUACCCAGUCUUUCUUAAUACAUAUCCAAGUGAUUAAACAGACCAUUGCGAUCUUCUUAUACAUAAUAAAAACUGAAAUGAUAUUAAAAUUCCAUGAACACGUGAAGAGAUAGAAAUUGUAUUAUCAAUGACCUAUAAAAUAAAAAAACAAGAUGUUUAAAAUGUUUAUGCCUUUUAAGUAUUUCAGAUGUCCAGAAAAAUUAUUAAGAGAAUUUAUGAGAAAGCUCGUUUUCUCCCUUUUUAAUUCCCUCGUCAAUUAUACAUUCGAUUCGCUUUGUCCGAUUAUCAUUGGAGCAUAUUCAGUAUAAAAAUUCUAGUCAAGCCAUGGUCGCACACCACUAAAAUACAGACGUAGAAUAUGGCAUAUUAAUGUAAUUCUUUGCGAUAAUCACGGUUAUUUACUUAUUUUUGUUUUUGUAUUUUGUACAUGGCACUCGAUGAAGCUUCGCAUUACGUCUGGAGGUAUGUACUUGCUAUAUAAAUGUUGUUGGAAAACUAUCUUGAACGGUAUACUGAAUCAUUAUUGUGUCAAUCAGUAUAUACCGAUAAUAGAUACAAGGCAAAUAAUCUAAAAUACUUGAUAAUCAUCUUUUUUAUAAUUUUACCGAUUUCAUAUAUACAUAUAAAAUCAGUAAUUCAUAAUUCAUUCUGUACAUCUCGUAUAUUAAUACUUGUACAGAUAACACAUUAAACUUAUUAACAUCUUAAUACAGAGAGGCAUAACGAGAAAAGCGAAGUAUUUAUAUUCGCAUUAUAUUGUUCUCUUUAUGAUAUUGCGUUUCCUAAUUUGCCUGUUUGCUGUGUUAAUAUAACAAAUUUUGUUUAUCAUAAUUAAUGUAUUCUAUAUUAUUUAUAAUGCUGUGAGAAACGAUUAAUUAAAAUAACAUUUGUAAUAUCGAAUGAUAAAAGAGAACACCUAAGGUAUAUAUCUUGUCGAUGUCCAAUAAUAAUGAAUUACAGUAAAGUAAUAA